rnacentral:rRNA from 1 species
UACGUAGGGCGCAAGCGUUAUCCGGAAUUAUUGGGCGUAAAGAGCUCGUAGGCGGUUUGUCGCGUCUGCCGUGAAAGUCCGGGGCUCAACUCCGGAUCUGCGGUGGGUACGGGCAGACUAGAGUGAUGUAGGGGGAGACUGGAAUUCCUGGUGUAGCGGUGAAAUGCGCAGAUAUCAGGAGGAAUACCGGUGGCGAAGGCGGCAUCCUGGACCGACAUUGACGCUGAGGAGCGAAAGCUAGGGGAGCAAACGGG